GGUUCGGUGGUGUAGUUGGUUUAUCACGUCAGUCUAACAUCUUCUCCGAUAAGAGUCGAGUUCACUGAAGGUCGGGAGUUCGAGCCUCCCCUGAAUCA
rnacentral:tRNA from 1 species